rnacentral:lncRNA from 1 species
AUGCUGUGGAAACCAAACACUCCACCAGUGAGUCUUCCUUCUAUAAUCAUAUUGUGCAACCAGAUUCCAUUCGUACCGGUCCCUGAGGAGACUCCUGCCGCCCCUGCAUUGCUGCCUGGAGCGAAUUUCUGUUUGAAGCAGGAAGUAAACAUUGGAAGCUCCUGUUGCACAUGCUUUUCCAGCCAGAAACUGAAAAGGAAAGUUCCGUGCGCCCUCUUGUGGGCAGAUGUAGCGCUGCAGGGCCUCGCCCACCCACCCCUGCCCGUGGGAGGAGCCGAAGGAGACGGACCGGGCACCGCCGCCCUCGCGACCCACGUUCUAGCGGAGGCAGACGGGAAAAGAAGCAGACAGAUGGACAAGGUCCUCUCAGAAAGCGAAAGGAAAGAACGUAAAAUAGGGCGAUGCGACAGAGUGCCUUGGAGGGGGGAGGUGGCUGGGUAGGGGUACAGGGUGGAUGUUGAAGGCUGGCUGGCUAGGGGAGCAGAUGGCUGAGCUGAGCUCAAAAGGACAAGAAGUUACCAACCACGUUGGGUAAGAGGGCAGGGUCCCAGGCAGAGGGACGGUCCCCAGGCAGGAAGGAGCUCUGAGUGUCGAACACAGAGAAACCAGCAUGGCUGGUGGCACAGAGCACAGAGAAGUACUCCAGGGGCUGAGGGUGGAGGAAUGGGCACCCAUCCAGGUGGGCACACGGGGUCUGCUUCACCCCUUCAGGACAUCUGAUUCUCACCCCUGCCCCACCAAGCAGUCCUUCGGCAAACCCAACCAGCUCUGGCUCACACGUCCACUCUCCUCUCUCCCCAGCCACCCCGCCCCAAUGUCUUUCCCUCCUGCAGCAGCUUCCUAAUGGAUCUCCUCACCCCUUGCAAGGCAUUCUCCUCUAGGCAGAAAAGCCAACUUUUAAAUGUAAACAGUUAAUGUCUCAUCCUUGCUUAAAACUCUUCAAUGACUUUGCACUCAGAAUAAACUCAGUCCUUAGGGCUGCUUCUCCCUCCCU